rnacentral:rRNA from 1 species
CACGUAGGGCGCGAGCGUUGUCCGGAAUUACUGGGCGUAAAGAGCUCGUAGGCGGUUUGUCGCGUCGUCUGUGAAAACUCGAGGCUCAACCUCGAGCUUGCAGGCGAUACGGGCAGACUUGAGUACUGCAGGGGAGACUGGAAUUCCUGGUGUAGCGGUGAAAUGCGCAGAUAUCAGGAGGAACACCGGUGGCGAAGGCGGGUCUCUGGGCAGUAACUGACGCUGAGGAGCGAAAGCGUGGGUAGCGAACAGG